rnacentral:tRNA from 1 species
GGGCCUGUAGCUCAGGUGGUUAGAGCGCUUCACUGAUAAUGAAGAGGUCGGAGGUUCAAGUCCUCCCAGGCCCA